UACGUAGGUGGCAAGCGUUGCCCGGAUUUACUGGGCGUAAAGAGCGCGCAGGCGGUCGUUCAAGUCGCGUGUGAAAGCCCCCGGCUCAACUGGGGAGGGUCACGCGAUACUGAUCGACUCGAAGGCAGGAGAGGGAAGUGGAAUUCCCGGUGUAGUGGUGAAAUGCGUAGAUAUCGGGAGGAACACCAGUGGCGAAGGCGACUUCCUGGCCUGUUCUUGACGCUGAGGCGCGAAAGCUAGGGGAGCAAACGGG
rnacentral:rRNA from 1 species